UACGAAGGGGGCUAGCGUUGUUCGGAAUUACUGGGCGUAAAGCGCGCGCAGGCGGCUAUCCAAGUCAGUGGUGAAAGCCCGGAGCUCAACUCCGGAACUGCCAUUGAAACUGUUUAGCUGGAGUAUGAGAGAGGUGAGUGGAAUUCCCAGUGUAGAGGUGAAAUUCGUAGAUAUUGGGAAGAACACCGGUGGCGAAGGCGGCUCACUGGCUCGUUACUGACGCUCAUGCGCGACAGCGUGGGGAUCAAACAGG
rnacentral:rRNA from 1 species